ACAAGCUGAGAAACGGCUAGUAGGACUAAGGUCUGCAGCAGGCGCGAAACUUACACAAUGCUAGAUUACAAUUAGCGAUGUAGUGAAGAAAAAUAACGAUGUACUUCCUUCUAAACAAGGCAGUACAAUUGGAAUGAGACGACUAUAAACCAGUUAGUCGAGUAACAAAUGGAGGGCAAGUCUGGUGCCAGCAGCCGCGGUAAUUCCAGCUCCAUUAGCAUACAUUAAAGUUGUUGCGGUUAAAAAGCUCGUAGUUGAAUUUUAGGCGGGCUCUAUUGGGAUGCAAUCGUUAAGACCUACUUGGUUUCGGCUAAGUUAGGUUGGUUGUCAUCGCCCUAUAGGAACCCGCUGUUUCGUCACUUAAUCGAGUGCGAAGCGGGCUGGUACAAGGAUUCAAUAUUCGCUAUUGUCCUGUUUCAGCAUGUUUACCUUGAGAAAAUUAGAGUGCUCACAGCAGGCAGUUGGGGUGUAAAAGCUCCUUUAUGCUUGAAUAAUGUUGCAUGGAAUAAUAGAAUACGGCCUCGGUUCUAUUCUGUUGGUCUUAUAGAACAACAAACAAGUUGGUUAAAGCGAUCAAAAGUUCAUUUGCGGAUGUGGUUCACUGGUUGCUUUUUAGUUGCUGGCUUUAACUACUGUCUAGUUGUGUUACCUAGGGCCUUAAAAUCUUAGCGUCUCACUAGCUUUUUGUUGGCCUUCUUUACUACCUAGUUUUGCCUUUGUUCCAUUUAAAGCAUCCCUUAUUGGGCUAGCUUUCUAAUCAACUGAGGCAAUGGUUAAAAGAAAUAGUCGCGGCGGCAUCAGUACUGCAUCGUGAGAG
rnacentral:rRNA from 1 species